rnacentral:misc_RNA from 1 species
AAAAGGGAAGCUAAUUCAUUGAUUAUUUAGUUUUGAGUGUUUAAAACGUAUUAAUUUUACAAAGUAAAAUUAUAUACACACUCACAUAUAUUGUACAUUGAAAAUUAAAUAACAAACACAACGCGAUAAAGUUUGAGAAAACGAUAUCGUGAGCCAGACAAAAAUGUUUAAGAGGUAAAAGCAAGAAAUAAAAGUUUUUCCGAA